UUUUGAAAGUCAUCUUCCCCCAUGACUUGAUAAAUUUUUCCACUUAUGACUGAAAGGUUUUGAAUCAGAUUCAGUUACCUUUCGAGAAGGAACUAAUUGGGAAAGAGGUUUGGUAAAAAAUACCAAAGAUAAUGAGAGAAGAGACAUGCAUGAAAUUUAAGGUGAUUCGUCAAGCUCAAGUGACAUGGUCGAACUGGCAUGCAAUAUAUCGCGCCUUUUAGGCCAAAAAUCGCGACAGAUUUGAAUUUUCAGCAAAAAAAAAGGACGAUAGGCCCUGCGCAUGAGUCUAAAGAAUCAUUCUAAACCCACGAAUCGGCAAAAUUCAGAGAAAUGAAAGCAAGAUAGUGUUUGGAAAAAAACCUCGCAUUCGAUACAGAAAUCGAUGGCUGAAUCGAAUGCGAGGUUUUUUUUCCAAACACUAUCCUGCUUUCAUUUCUCUGAAUUUUGCCAAUUUGUGGGUUUAGAAUGAUUCUGUAGGCUCAUGCGCAGGGGCUGUCGUCCUUUUUUUUUGCUGAAAAUUCAAAAUCUGUCGAGAUUAUUGACCUAAAAAAUACGAUAUAUCGCAUGCCAGUUCGACCACAUCAUUUGAGAUUGACGAAUCACCUUAAAGCUUAGAGCAACAGAAAUGACAACGUGUGACCCAGUAUUCCAGAAAUCCAGACCCAAUGUCGUAAUAGUGUUGUUGCAUUUAGAACUUACGCAUUGUUUGAACCUUUAAAUUUUCUCUAUGAAUUUAAACCAUGAAACUAAUAGGAGGAAACUUAAAUUAAGUUUUGCAUUGGAACAAUCUGGCACGCAUGCUGCCUAAGAUCUAAUCAUCUUGCCACAUGUUUCGUAUUGAUUUAAAUAUACUUACAAUAGGAGAAGACGUAUGCUGUAUAUUCUACGCAUGAAUAACUUGGUAAAGGAACUGUCCGAGGAGGACAUAGGAUCUUGCAGAAGGAGUGCCAGGCUUGAGGUGAAUUCCACUUAUGACUGAAAGGUUUUGAAUCAGAUUCAGUUACCUUUCGAGAAGGAACUAAUUGGGAAAGAGGUUUGGUAAAAAAUACCAAAGAUAAUGAGAGAAGAGACAUGCAUGAAAUUUAAGGUGAUUCGUCAAGCUCAAGUGACAUGGUCGAACUGGCAUGCAAUAUAUCGCGCCUUUUAGGCCAAAAAUCGCGACAGAUUUUGAAUUUUCAGCAAAAAAAAGGACGAUAGGCCCUGCGCAUGAGUCUAAAGAAUCAUUCUAAUUCCACGAAUCGGCAAAAUUCAGAGAAAUGAAAGCAAGAUAGUGUUU
rnacentral:lncRNA from 1 species